UCCCUGGUGGCUCAGAUGGUAAAGAAUCUGCCUGCAAUGCAGGAGACCCGGGUUUGAUCCCUGGGUCGGGAA
rnacentral:tRNA from 1 species